rnacentral:snRNA from 1 species
AUACUUACCUGGCAGGGGAGAUACCCUGAUCACAAAGGUGGUUUUCCCUGGGCAAGACUCAUCCAUUGCACUCCAGACGUGACCGCUAUGAUUUCCCCAAAUGUGAGGAACUUGACUGCGUAAUUCAUAGUUAUUUUUAAUUAAAGA